UNGGCACGCAGUAGGAAUUUUCUGGGAAGG
rnacentral:piRNA from 1 species